GCAUCGUCUCCCUCGCCCUAGAAUGGGGGUUGGACAAGAUGACCCCGUGGGAGCAUCAGCCCAGGAUUCUCACUCAGGUUCUAAGAUGAAAGGAGCUCAUCCCCUCCUCCCCACCCAGCUUUGAGCCUGAGCCCCUUGGCCCAAGUGACCAGAGUGGAGGGUGGACUUGGCCGGGGGCAUACGGGUCAGAAAUCAGCCUCAGUUGUCCCCGGAUAGGUGGCCUGACCCAAAGGGGCUCCUUCCACUGCCUCACACCACGGGCAGCUAUGUCAUUCAUGACCACUAGGACACAGGCAAGCGUCCAGAGCUUGUCCACAUGGGGCGAGGGUGAUGUCAGCCCCGCCGUGCCCAGCGGCUGCAGGGCCACGCUGCUAGGCUGGACGAUCUGCUGGUGUGGUGCUGCCUGCCCAGAGGAAGGGAUGCCUUUUCUGCACACAAGUGCGCUGCCUGCUUGCCCAGCCUUACCCCCAUGGGUGCUGAGCCUUGAGGGGAGGGGCGCUUUAUCCUAAUUCACACAAAGGUGUUUAGGUACAGGCCUUUCCGGAGCAGGCCACGGGCGGGCAGCCCAAUUGGGCAGGAGGAGAUGCCCAGCCACCCCUCUCCACAGUGGGCUGCCUUGCCCCCUCUGCCCCUGGCUCCGGAGCCACCCCAGAGCAAUGGAAAACAUUUCAACAUCUCCUCCCCAACAAGUCAUUAUAAUAAAAAACAUACUGGUUCCCCAAUCCCUUGCCCACAAAUCCUAACUCCCAAAAGUUCUGAAAGCUCAAAGUGUUUUUUGUAACGUAUUUGGCAACCACACCUGGCCUGAUCAAACAUCAGGCUGCCUAUGGUCUUCAUGUUUCCCACUUUGGGUGAGUAUUCAUAUUAUUGAGAAGUACUAAUGUGUUUGAUCCACACCUCACUGGGUUGUAUAUGAUAUGGGAAUGUGCAUAGUAUUUUAUUACCUUUCUAAAAACACAAAGUCAUAUAAACUCUGAAAGACAAAUGGCCAGUUUUCAGAUAAGAAAUUCUAGAUCUGUAGUAACCAGCACUCAGUAUAGGCCUUGUAAUGUCCCAGACACCGUGCUUAAGCACUUCACAAGUAUUGACUCGUGUCAUCCAGCAAGUCAACGUAUUUCCAUUUUAUAGAUGCAAUGGAAGUCUGGGAGGUUCAGGAACCUUGCCAAAGUCACAUAGUUGACUAAGGGGUGGGGCCAGGGUUUGAAUCCUGCUCUGAGCCCUACACUGUAUAGGUGGGGAGACUGAGGCCCAGAGGCGAAAGGAGGCAGCUCAGGGUCCGUCAGUGAGUCCACAGGGAGCUGAGCCUGGGUCCUGGAGUCCCCCAGCAACUUCCCAGGAGCUCUCAGCUCAGGCUGAGUUUGUCCAGUCCAUCGGGAGGAAUUUAAAAAUAGGAUAAGUUCCCGUGGAAAGUUUUCAGAUUUCACUGGAUUGAUACCAGCUGACCCUGUGCACACAGCCCCACUCCCCAGCAGGCGAGGGGCUGGGCUGUGCGCUGAGGUCCCCAUGCCUGUUCCCAGCCUGCCCCUAGGGAGGGAAACUGCCUUGGGGACUCAGAGAGGCCAGUGACCAGGACAAGGGACAGGAUGGGCUCCAGCUGACGGGAAGGGAUGGGAGACCCCCUUCUCUGCUGGGAGAGAAGUGUCCCCAACACUCACUGGCUCCAUCUGUCCUCCAGUUUCUGAAGACAGGCAGAGGACUCAGAGCAUUCCCCCAUGCCUGCCUGUUCCGGUAGUUUCUGUUCUUACACUGACCUGUUCUCCCGCAACUUCACUCCUCUGUUUGUCCUUUCGUGGUCCUACAGCGAACGUACAGAACCUCCCCGAUGAGGAAGGCUGGCUGCGUGAAACACUAGGGCACAAUCCUGCCCUUGGAAAGCUGCAGUCACACAGAACAGGCACCGCAUCAGGGCAGGGGGUUUGUACUGGGGACCCAGGAGCAACCCUGGGCUGGUCCGGGAGGGGAGGAGCAGGAGGGAGGAGGACCAAGGGCCCUUCGGGGCCGGGGACAGGCUCAUUCCCCCUGGCAGGCUGAUGCGCAGAGAGGGAUCGUGGUGAGGAAGCAGGUGGAGUGGGCACGUGCCCUGCGAAAGGGCCUCCCGGCUCCACUGAGCUGGUCCUGAGGAUGCUGGGUGGGCAGGAGAGGAUUUCAUGUCUUCCUGGAUCCAGGCUGGUCCAGGAAGACUCCACGCCUGCCAGAGGCCACAUGGAAGUUACCUGAGCAAUUUCUACAUCAGUCUUCUCUGGGUCAGGUCCUGCUCUUGUCACCUGUGUAGACCGGCCCCUGGCGCAGAGCCGAGCACUUUGGUAAGAGGUGGCUGAGCCAAGCUGCCCUAGGUGCUGCCACAAUCUCCCCCAUCCUAAAAGUCCGUCAGCUGCUCCAAGAAAGAUGAGACCCUCAGGGAAAUCUGAGCCUGAACCGGACUCAGAUCUUACAUGAUACUAAGAAAUUAUUAUUAACUUUAUCAACAAGUAUGACUCUGUGUUGUGGUUAUAUAAAACCAGCAAACUCAAUCUAUUGGAGAGAAAAACUUAAGUAUUUAUGCGUAAAAGAUAUAUGACGUAUGACGUCUGUGAUUAUGUUAACGCGCACACACACACACACACACACACAGGGCCCUCCUGCCCCCUCAGUCCUGGUACUGCCUGCUCUGCCCCGGCCCAUCCCAGGCCUGCAUUUGGCAGGAAGGGACAGUUAGCCUAGUCAGGCCAACAAGAGGACACUCGGCCUGCCUGUGGGCUUGGUGCCUUGGAGGCUGCUGAGGUGAGCGGCCAGGCCCCAGCCCCGGCGCCCACAGUGAAGCAGAGAGUGGUGCUCAGUGGCAGGGCCCCAUGGUUGCCAUGCUCUCUGAGAGCAGAUCUUGAGCAGUGGUCCUGGCUGGAUACAGAGCCCUGGGUUGAUGGCUUCCAGAACAGUCCACGGGCUGGUCACUGGUGCCGGCCAUUGCCAUCUGGCUGCUGGGGAGGUCUCAGGUUGUCUGAGGGCCUACUGAGGCACAUCUCUGGCCUCUGUGUCACCCGGGCUUGGCCUGUGAACUGGCCCAGAGUGUGCCUCACUUGGCCCAUUGUGGGGACGGCAGCGAUAACCUGCACACCUUGCUCCUCCCAGCUUCCAGAGCCAGGGGCUACUGCUGGGCAGCCGGACAGCGUGGCAAUGUGGAGAAAUACUACCCACUGCUGACAGCAGCCCUGGUUAAUUAUCACAGCAGGAGGGAAAGCAAGAGGCUGAAUGGAGAACACAGCUUUUCCGAGCCUCCUGAGCUGCCACACACAGCCUGGGCAGGCCCCCCAGGGCCACAAAGCCCCAGCCGCUUGACUUUCCCAGGCCCCUCCCACCGGAGCAGGGCCCAGGGGGCAGCUCCGCAGUCACGCAGAGUCAGCCUGGGAGGCCGCCUGGAGCCCGGGCCUCCUGCCAGGAGGGUGAGCCAGGGGCAGCUGGGCUCGGGAGCCCUCCUCUGAGCCUUUGCUCGGGGCUCGCUGCCAUCGUCCCCACUUCCUAGUCACCCUCAGGCCUGGCAGUCCAGCUCAGGGUCCUGCCUGCUUCCACUCUGGGGCCCUAAAGAGCCAUUUAGCGGAGGCCCAACUUCUGACGAUGGAGUAGCAAAGGGCAGGCUGAUGAGAGAAGUUGGAGAGGCCAGGGGCAGAGAGGCGCUGCCAGGGGCUCCGGCUGUGAAAUGAACUCCAGGAGUGCAGGGAAGCUUUCCCCACCCACGCCAGGAGUGGCAGGCCGAGUGGGCAGGCAGGCAGCUGUGACCCCCUAGCAGUGACUCUUGAUGACCAGCAUUGCCUUUGGGGAGAGUUUCCAGGGGGUCUGGAGGCUCUGCAGCUGGGCCAGUCUGCAGAAUGGUCACACCUGCUCCAAAUGAGCUCCAGGAGCCCAGGCCAAGGGCAGAGCCGGCGCUGCUGGUUCCCUCCCAGGCUCUGGGAGACCACCCACAUGGGCUCUAUCAGCGCAGAUUGUUCUCCGGCUCUCUGGCUCUGCACAUCAAACCCAACAAUCUCCAAGUUGCUCUGGCCGUCUUUUCUGGAACUGCCUAGUCCCAACAGCUGGCCUGAGAAGACACUGGACCACAGGGAGGGACGCAGGAGGUUAAGCAGAGCAGAGUAAGGUGGCACAGGGCUGAGAGGCUCCUGCCGGGCUAGCCUUUGACCUUGAGGACACCACUUGCUGAGAGGAGCCCCAGCCUGAACUCCAGUGGGGACUGUCACCUAGCACUUGCUCUGCCCUUGAUUUCUUUCCCAAACCACCCCCUUCCCAGGUUCUGGGCUCGGUCCCAGGGGAACUGUCUGCUGCUGCUCACACAUGUUCCAUGAACCUUGGCUCAUGCUGGCCUCCACAUGGGAGUCCCUUCACGGGCCCAGUCCCCCUGCAGCCGCUCCUCUGCACAUCUUUCUGGAAUGUGGGUCCUUCUCCCUCGGGGCUGCAUUGUUGGCGUGGUCUGGUCAGGACACAGGCCUACAGUCUGACUGUCCCAGAUUCAAAUCCCAGCUCUGCCACUUCCCACCUGGGUGACCUUGGUCAAGAGACAGAAGCUUAGUUGCCUCAUCUAUAAAAUGGGAAUCAUGGCCACUUGACAGGUUGUUUUUUUAACAGGGAUUAAAUGAGACAUGUGUGACAUGUUUUGUGUGGGCCUUGGUUCACAGUAACGCUGGUAAAUACAGUGAUUGUGGCCACAUUGUGGUGGUGGUGGCCAUUGCUCCUGUCAUUAUCCCUGCAAAGAGUGCCGGUUCCCUGAGGACAGGAACCCUGGCUUUUUGUCUCUGUAUUCCCUCCCUGCUCGCCCAACCCUGCAGGGUGAGUGUGACUGGCUCAGGGUGGAGGCCAGUUCAAAUCUGGAUCAAGUGGAAGGCAGUGGGGUCCCCUGGGGAAGGCAGGAAGGCCAUGGCGUUUCCCAGCAGUGCGUGGAUAGAACCCAGUGGCUGUGUGUUGCUCUGAGCUGCAACCCCAGCUGCAGCCUGAUGGCCAAGCUCCCUCUGCAGAGCCCGGGCUCAGUCAGGGCCCCUCCUGCCGGGAGUGCUGCUGCCCUCAGGGUGGAAAUGGACAUGACCUGUGGGUCCUGGACACCUUGCUUCUCUGAGGAGAGGUGGCACCCUGGCUCCUUCCUAUGCAACAAACAUUCCUCGACACCAACUGCAUGCCAAGCCUAUUGCUAACUGGGGCCUGAGGCAAGUCCCAUACCUUUCUGAGUCUUGAGUCUGUCAUCUAUCAACUAAGCACUCUAUAAAUUCCUGGCUUCAAAGAGUUUUUGGAACAUUAAAUGAGAUAAUAAAGCACAGAGCCUGGGAUGGGGGGAAGGGUAGUUUCAGCAGACACGAGCUUCCCCAUCCCCACCCACCAGCCCUGGUAGCCCCCGUCCUCAACUGGUUGGUAGCAAAGGAUCCUGGGGAGAGCCGUGCCCUGGUCUGAGGAAGGGGAGGUCCUUCCAAGUGCAGGCUGCUGUCUUCCUGCCUUUGUGGACAGUGGCUCAGGUCACCUUGGUCCUGUGCUUUGUCACCUGGGGCCCAGGAGGUCCAUCCCUGGGGAGGAGGGGGACACCUGCCCUUCCCCCCUCACCUCAGAGGCCCAGCCCCUGACCAGUGUCUGAUUCCUAUGUUUAGAAGGCCCUGUCCAAGAUUAUGCUGACCAAAGGCUGGCUAGAGGUACUAGAAAACCCCCUUCAGCCCCCAGAUCACCUUGGCCUUGGGCCAAGCCUGGGAUACCUUCCCUGGCCGGUCCACCACCCAGCUGCCCUCUGUGAACCUUCAAACGACCAGUUGGUGCAGGCACCAUUUCCCCCAGGACCAGCUGCAUGUUUGAGCAGUAGUCUCUUCUGGUUUAUCUGGAGGAAGGAAGAUGACGUCACGAGGUAAACCGCACAGCCUGAAACCACGAGGCCGGGUACCCCGGUGAUACUCGCUUUUCAGCGAGUCACUCGUGCACAGAGGGACACAUUGCCUGGGCCUUUCUGGUCAGAGAGUGGCUGGGAAGACAGAGGGAGAUUUUUAAACACAGAACCACAAGAAAAGAGAGGGCCCCAGAGAAGAUGAACGUCAGAGGCCAGGCAGGGUGGCUUCCAGGUGCUGUGGGACAGUCAAGUGGACUUUGUGGCCACUCAUGAGGUGCUUGGUACCUGAGGUUCUGAUGACUGUAUUUACCAUGGUAGGCAUAAUGGGUGAUAAUAAUAUUGAUGAUAGGUACCACUUAUGUGUGCACAUUACCCAGUUAGCUCCUCAACAGCAACCCCCUGAGAUCAGAACCCAAGAGGCUGGCAUGAUCCUGUGGACAUAGAGGGGAGAUGAGGCUGGUGGACCUCUGCUCUGUGCUCUCAACCUUGAAACUACAAAGCUGACUUGCCAGCAGGCUGGGUGUCUGCCUGCCCUGAGGCCUGGAGCUAAGCCCUAACCCCCAGCUGCUAACUGUGACCUGGAGGAAGCCCCUUACCCUCUACAUGCCUCUGUUUCUUCCUCUGCCCAGUGUCCUGCCUUGCAGCUAAGAGAUUUCCUAAGAUGAACCCUAUCCUUCAGUCUCAUUUCAUUACUUUGUCUAUGCUCUGAGCAGGUUUUUCUGGGGAAAUUGGCUCUAAAGAGUAGGCUGGGGCACUGGUCCUGGUGGGCUAGUGGGAGGGGCUGGAGGGGGACGCCCUUCGUGUGGACAGCUUGAAUAGGAAGAGCUGUGUGGGGAGAUCCAGAGAAGCCUCACUUUCUCAGGAAACCAGAGCUGCAUGAGUUGGGGGUGGCAGGUGCCUAAGGGAAGUUCCCUGUAUGUCUGAGUGUGUAUGGGUGAGAGUGUAAGGGCAGGCGUGAUGCCCACCAGGGUAGGUAGUGUCCCUGAUCCUGCAGCCAAGACGAUCCAUGCACAGGUGCUGCCCAGACCCCAGGCCCUCCACCUCAGGGCGGGCCACAGCUCUGGCUCUGACAUCCCCUGAGGGCCUACAGGGACUGCUGUCUCAGACAGGGGACCGACAAGAGGACGCAACACAGGGAGUUGGCUCAGCUCCUCUUCAGGGGCCUCCUGAUGCCUGGCGCUCCUCCACUGGAGUCACAGCUGCCUGGGCUGAGGCCCAUCCUCAUCAGUUCUUUUCCUGAUAACGCAGGUACCCCGUGGGAGAGGCAGCACCUCGCGUCAGUGCAAGCGGAUAUAGAGACUUCCAGCACGAGCCUCUCAUUAUAAGAUGAGAAAACUGAGACCCUACUGGGAACAAGAUCUGCCCACUAUCACAUAUUAGCUGACAGACAUGCAGGAGCAGGAACCCAGGUAGCCUCUCGCACGUGGGGGGUUUUCCCUCCUCUGCUGCUGCUGUUAUCCUAAUAUGAAUUACCUACCAGAUCCUUUCCAAGAGGGUGAGCUGAAGGUUGAGGAGCACUGCUGUGUGGGUGCAGAGCUGUGGGAGGGCCGCCGGGGGCCAGUGCCAGGGGAGGCCCUAGAGACGUCGCCUCUUUUGCCACUUUCCAGGGCCAACUCAGCACCUUAUGUGGGAGGAUUAGUCAUAAGCAACUGUUUGACCCCAAAAGUUGUAGUUCACUGGGUUGUUCACAGUGAUGCUUUUCUGAGUCAUGGCCCAGGAUGACACAAAGCUUUGAAGGACCAGCUGGAGGUCCCGUGGCCCCUGCAGCUGCUCUGGGACUCUCUUGCCUGGAAGCCUCUUGCCUAAUGGCUGGCACUUUGAGGAAAGAGCUCAGUGGGCAGGGGGCAGGGCGGGCUGAGAGGCAGGCCACUGCGGUCCAGACCUGCACAUGCCCUGGAGGUUCUCAGGGUCAGUUCUUCCCUGGGUCAGUUUCCUUGUUCAUAAAAUGGAAGGUCAGACCACAUGGUCUCUGAGUUUCUUCGAAGCUGGCUUCUGCCCUCCAGGGUGGUUCUGGCUGGGCCAUACCACACUCCUGGCCACAAGAACCGCUAGAGCUUGGAGCCGCUCCACUGACUUCUCGUGCCCUCCAGGUCUCCCCGGGCCUGGCUCCCCAGCCCUCAGAGUCACCUUCUGCUUUGUGCUCUAUCAGAAGGGAGGGCCGCAGCAUGCCCAAGCUGGAAGGCCUCCCAAAUCCACAGCCGAGCCCACUGAUGGGUCCCAAAUGAGCGGAGGGAGGUCACGAGAAGUCACCCCCACCUCAUCAGCAGGCCCGGAGGAGCCCGUCGGGAGGCCCCCAGGUGAGGCCUGCUCAGCCCCACCUCCACCUAAUCCACUGCUCAGUGCCAUCACCUGUCACCCCUCUUCCUCCUCGGUCCCAGGCCUUUUCACUCACACUUUCUCUGAGGCUGCAGAGCCCAGGAAGAAGGCGGCUGCUAGCCAAGCGCCUGCGCAGCCUAGGGUGAGUCUUUGCUCCCACUGGGCCUUUGUCCCUGGGCUGCAAGAUGGGGCGCUGUGACACCUUCCCGCAGGCUUGGUGCGAGGAGUCAGUACAUAGGUACCCGCGUAGUGAGUGCGCGGUAAAUGCUCCCUCCCUCCCUCCUUCCCUCCUUCCUUCCCUCCCUCUUUCCCUCCCUCUUUCCCUCCCUCCUUCCCUCCCUCCUUCCCUCCCUCCUUCCUUCCCUCCUUCCCUUCUUCCUUCCUCCCUUCCUCCAAAAUUUGAAAUGACUCACCGUGGAAAACACAGAUACAAUAGGCCUUUAAAGUAAGGUUUCUUUAAACAACAAGCCUGGGAUUGAAAAGGCGAGAGCUGUCCCAGAAUGUUGGGCCGAGCAGGCUGUUAUCUGACGUAAGUUCCGGGCACUCUUGGCCAAAAGGUAAUGCUGUUGGUAUCAAGCUCUCCUUUUUUGAUAAGAGGAAACAUAUCACUUCUCAGGAGAAUAGAAGAAUUUGCUAAGUCAACCUUUAUAAAUGACAUUAAGCUCUGCAACUGGGAGAAACCCCCCUUGCCCCCCCUCCCCUGUUUGAGCCCCUGAGAACCUUGGGGGUGCAUCCUUCUCCAUCCCACUGCCCACCUCUAGGACCUGAGGAGGCCUGGGGACCGGGAACCGGAGCUGCUGCUCCAAAGCAAAGCCCUCAGCGGUCCUGCAGAGCUGGAGCUGGCAGCUCCUGGGGAAAAGCCAAGGGACCGAGACGUGAAGAGCCUUUCCUCUGAUGCGGAGUGAGCCCCCUCCCAGGGGUUCCGUCCCAGCAGCCCAAGUAAGCACCCCCGGGAGGGGGCCUGGGAGUGCUCACUGAGAAAUCCCACAGCUGCCCACACACCUCCCCUUCUCUCAAAUGCCAGAAGGAUUCCUCCGGCAGGCAAGGGGAAAGGUGAGAAAGGCGCUCUGUACUGAGUCACUGGAAAGGUUAUGGGACCCAGUGGGAAAAGGCCUCAUUCCAUCUCCUCCAGGACUUCUGAAGGCAGGCAUGGUCCAGGUGUGGCCAGGGACCAUCUCCACAGACUUAGGUAGCACCAGAAAAGGGGCCUUAUGCCUCCCACUCUCCCGUCUCUCCCUCCUCUUCCCCCACCACAGCCCGUGCACACGGUCUCCACAAGCGUGCUGCCAGCUGGCUCAGGGAGUGAUGGGAAUCUUUUUCCUGUUCUGUGAGGUUCUGCCUCACUUGCGAAAGAGCCCCCAACUGCAUCCACCUUUUAGCUCGGGGCUCCACCUGAGCGCCUGCCUUAGUCUCCUUCCUAAUCGAGCUCCCAGGGUGCUUUCCCACAGCCAGUGGGCUUGUCCCUAGCUGGGCCCUCUUCGCAGGGAGGACUCCCCCUGCUUGCGUUCCUCACUGCAGAGAGCAGGCAGAGGAGCCCACGGCGAAGUGCGCGGUCCCUCCUGGGGCCACUGUGCAGACGCCCGGGGCUGCAGCUGCCCCCGAGCACUCCGUCUCUGUUCAUCUGAGCCAGCAGGAGGAAGCAGAGAAGGUGGCCUGGCAGCCGGCCUGGCAGCCGGCCUGGCAGCCUUCCCUGCUGGCUGUGGAAAUGUCUUUGGUGGCAGGAGGUAACCAUCCAGGACAUGAUGAUUCGCCCACAUCGAGGUCUACCCGUACAUUGGUCAUGAGAACAGUUUGCCCAGAGGGGUUUUUGAGGGCUGAUGGUAGACGUGUGAGGGAAGUCCCAGCCGGUCCUUGGACCCAUCAUAUAAAGCUGGUAUCAUGAGCGGUAAAGGAGGGGAGUAAGGGGUUGGGUUGGGCCAGCUUUGGAUUUGGACUUGGGGCUAGUUAGGUGGGCAGUGGGUGGACUUUCCAGGCCCUUUUCUCCAGCCCCACUCAGUGCUUAUCGCCUCAUACCUGGACCUUGCCAAUACCUUCCUCAGGGGCCUCCCUGCCCAAGCCUCGCCCUCUAAUUGAUCCCCCGACCUUUGCAGCACUGCUUCCUGAAGGACCCUUAGACUGUGCUCUUUGAGCUGAUCAAGGGUCACCUCUCCCUGGCUCAUAAAUCUUCAGCGGCGCCCUAUUACCUGUGGGAACUGAAGACUCCAGGCCUCGCAGUGGCCUCAGUCACCCUGCUCCCCAGUCCCUAAGAGAACCCCCUGUCUCAACCAAAGACCUUGGGCUCUUCUGGUGCUGGGCCCCACCUUCCCCUGGAAUCCUCCUUUCCCCCUCCUCAAGGCACAGCCCAAGUCCCACCUCUCCAGGAGGCUUGGCCUGACUACCCUAUCACAGUGGAGAAUGGUUGUGUCCGGAAGCAGGACCCUCUUCUUCCUGCUCAGCCUUCCUUGUGUGCACUGCAAACCGCUGCUUAAGACACCCUCCUCCAGGCCCUCUUCACUCUUGGCAUUCAUUUAUUGGGGAAAGAGCCCAGUUUUGGAGCAAGACAGGCCUGGGUUAAAGUCCCGGCUCAGCUCCAGUCCCAUUAACUAGUUGCAAAUCACUUAACCUUUCUGAGCUUCCAUCUUCCACUCAAUAAAUGGGACAAGGCCUGCCCUGCAGGACCCUUGAGAGUACAGGAUGCUGAAUAGCAUCUGUUAUUUUGGCCUUCCCAGUGUCCAUUCCUCUUUCUUUUGAUGAUAUCAUCUGGGUUUGCUGGUGAGUAUGGGAGACCAGGUAGGGCUGACCUUACUUUCUGUUACUAGUGUGAGUGUAUGACCCAGGCCUGGCCAUUGAGAACAUUCCCUUGCCCUGGCCACAGACAUAGGUGCCCAGAGAUAGACAUGAGACUCAAAUCAGGCUAGUGGGAAUUACACUUGGGACUUGGGGUUACUAAGACUUUCUUUCCAUGUUAAGUUAAUUGGCUGAGAGUACUGCGUUCCCCCAAAAGAUAUGUUCAAGCUCUAACUCCCAUUGAAUGUAAUCUCAUUUGGAAAUACGGUCUUUGGAGUUGUAAUCAAGUGAAGAGAAAGCCACACUGAAUCAGGGUGGACCCUGAUCCAGCGACUAGCAUUCUUGUACAAAGAGGAAAAUUGGACAUGGAGACACGCUGGGGCAAGGCCAUAUGGCAACAGAGGCAGACAGGAGUGAUGUAUCUGCAGGACAAGGAACCCAGGAUUGCCAGGAGCUGCCAGAAGCUAGGAGAGAGGCGUGGGACCCAGAGCCUCCGGAGGUGAGCAGCCCUGCUGAGGCUGAGAUUUCAGACUGCUGGCUUCCGCAGCUAUAAGAGAAUAGCCUUGUGUGUGCAGCCACCCAAGUCUGUGGCGAUUUGUUAGGGCAGCUGCAGGAAACGUCUGUAGCCACCCGAUGGAGAGAGUGCCUGAGGCCAGCACUGUGGAAAUCAGGGCUGACUCCCCGGAUUCCUGGCACCAUGACAACGCCUGGAUCCAGCAGUGGCUGAAGCAAGAGGUCUACUGGACUUCUCAGUCACAUCAGCCAAUAUACUCUGUAUUUUACUAA